rnacentral:rRNA from 1 species
AACGAACGCUGGCGGCAUGCCUAACACAUGCAAGUCGAACGAAGUCUUCGGACUUAGUGGCGCACGGGUGCGUAACGCGUGGGAAUCUGCCCUUGGGUGCGGAAUAACUUCUCGAAAGGGAUGCUAAUACCGCAUAAUGUCGUAAGACCAAAGAUUUAUCGCCCAAGGAUGAGCCCGCGCAAGAUUAGCUAGUUGGUGGGGUAAAAGCCUACCAAGGCGACGAUCUUUAGCUGGUCUGAGAGGAUGAUCAGCCACACUGGGACUGAGACACGGCCCAGACUCCUACGGGAGGCAGCAGUGGGGAAUAUUGGACAAUGGGCGAAAGCCUGAUCCAGCAAUGCCGCGUGAGUGAUGAAGGCCUUCGGAUCGUAAAGCUCUGUGGGGGGAGAAGAAGAAGCCGGUGAAGAGCCGGCCCUGACGGUAUCCCCUUAGCAAGCACCGGCUAACUCCGUGCCAGCAGCCGCGGUAAU